rnacentral:rRNA from 1 species
GGAUAAUCUACCCUUAGGACCGGGAUAACUUGGGAAACUGAGGAUAAUACUGGAUAGGCAAUUAUUCCUGUAAUGGUUUUUUGUUUAAAUGUUUUUUUCGCCUAAGGAUGAGUCUGCGGCCGAUUAGGUAGUUGGUUAGGUAAUGGCUUACCAAGCCGUUGAUCGGUACGGGUUGUGAGAGCAAGAGCCCGGGGAUGGAACCUGAGACAAGGUUCCAGGCCCUACGGGGUGCAGCAGGCGCGAAACCUCCGCAAUGUGAGAAAUCGCGACGGGGGGAUCCCAAGUGCCAUUCUUAACGGGAUGGCUUUUCAUUAGUGUAAAGAGCUUUUGGAAUAAGAGCUGGGCAAGACCGGUGCCAGCCGCCGCGGUAACACCGGCAGCUCUAGUGGUAACAAUUUUUAUUGGGCCUAAAGCGUCCGUAGCCGGUUUAAUAAGUCUCUGGUGAAAUCCUGUAGCUUAACUGUGGGAAUUGCUGGAGAUACUAUUAGACUUGAGACCGGGAGAGGUUAGAGGUACUCCCAGGGUAGAGGUGAAAUUCUGUAAUCCUGGGAGGACCGCCUGUUGCGAAGGCGUCUAACUGGAACGGUUCUGACGGUGAGGGACGAAAGUUAGGGGCGCGAACCGGAUUAGAUACCCGGGUAGUCCUAACUGUAAACGAUGCGGACUUGGUGUUGGGGUGGCUUUGAGCUGCUCCAGUGCCGAAGGGAAGCUGUUAAGUCCGCCGCCUGGGAAGUACGGUCGCAAGACUGAAACUUAA